AGAGAGAGAGAGAGAGAGAUGGUGGGAUAGGCUCUUUCUUCUUUUGACCAAAAGCUUGCACUAUAGUACUCACGUAUUCACGUAGGUGAGUUUCAUUGCUGUUAUAUGUCCUUAAAUGGGGGAGGUGACAGAGUUUGGCAUAUAUUUUUGUUUGAUUUGAAGUAGAUUGCAUUAGAUCUCUAUGAGUUGAUGGGUAUAGGGAAUUGGGUUUUUGUUGUUUAAGUUGCCGGAUCU
rnacentral:misc_RNA from 1 species